rnacentral:hammerhead_ribozyme from 1 species
AUUCGGCUGACAAGUCCCAAACAGGAUGAGACGCACGUCCUGGAU